rnacentral:rRNA from 1 species
CCUACGGGUGGCUGCAGUCGAGAAUCUUCCACAAUGGACGCAAGUCUGAUGGAGCGACGCCGCGUGAUUGAUGAAGGCCUUCGGGCUGUAAAGAUCUUUUAUGAGGGAAGAAGUUUAUUGACGGUACCUCAUGAAUAAGGGGUUGCUAAACUCGUGCCAGCAGCAGCGGUAAUACGAGUACCCCAAGCGUUAUCCGGAAUUAUUGGGCGUAAAGGGUGUGUAGGUGGCGAUGUUAGUCUUUCGUUAAAUCCACGGGCUCAACCUGUGAUCGGCGAAGGAAACGGCAUUGCUUGAGUAUGUGAGAGGCGCGCGGAACUCAUGGUGUAGGGGUGAAAUCCGUUGAUAUCAUGGGGAACACCGAAUGCGAAGGCAGCGCGCUGGCGCAUCACUGACACUGAAACACGAAAGCGUGGGUAGCGAAUGGGAUUAGAUACCCCGGUAGUC